CCUACGGGAGGCAGCAGUGGGGAAUCUUGCGCAAUGGGCGAAAGCCUGACGCAGCAACGCCGCGUGCGGGAAGAAGGCCUUAGGGUUGUAAACCGCUUUCAGUAGGAACGAAAAUGACGGUACCUGCAGAAGAAGGUGCGGCCAACUACGUGCCAGCAGCCGCGGUGACACGUAGGCACCAAGCGUUGUCCGGAUUUAUUGGGCGUAAAGAGCUCGUAGGCGGUUCAGUAAGUCGGGUGUGAAAACUCUGGGCUUAACCCAGAGCCGCCACUCGAUACUGCUGUGACUUGAGUUCGGUAGGGGAGCAGGGAAUUCCUAGUGUAGCGGUGAAAUGCGCAGAUAUUAGGAGGAACACCGGUGGCGAAGGCGCUGCUCUGGGCCGAUACUGACGCUGAGGAGCGAAAGCGUGGGUAGCAAACAGGAUUAGAUACCCUGGUAGUCCACGCCGUAAACGUUGGGCACUAGGUGUGGGUUCCAACCAACGGAAUCCGCGCCGUCGCUAACGCAUUAAGUGCCCGCCUGGGGAGUACGGCGGCAACGCUAAAACCUCAAAGGAAUUGACGG
rnacentral:rRNA from 1 species